UAGUAUCUUCAGAGGUUCCAGAGUCCAUC
rnacentral:piRNA from 1 species